rnacentral:rRNA from 1 species
UACGAAGGGGGCUAGCGUUGCUCGGAAUUACUGGGCGUAAAGCGCACGUAGGCGGUUUGUUAAGUCGGGGGUGAAAUCCUGGAGCUCAACUCCAGAACUGCCUUCGAAACUGGCGAUCUUGAGUUCGGGAGAGGUGAGUGGAACUGCGAGUGUAGAGGUGAAAUUCGUAGAUAUUCGCAAGAACACCAGUGGCGAAGGCGGCUCACUGGCCCGAUACUGACGCUGAGGUGCGAAAGCGUGGGGAGCAAACAGG